rnacentral:rRNA from 1 species
GACGAACGCUGGCGGCGUGCUUAACACAUGCAAGUCGAACGGAAAGGCCCCUUUGGGGGUCCUCGAGUGGCGAACGGGUGAGUAACACGUGAGUAACCUGCCCUUGACUUCGGGAUAACUUCAGGAAACUGGGGCUAAUACCGGCUAGGAAUCCUUGCUGCAUGGUGGGGGUUGGAAAGCUUCGGCGGUUUUGGAUGGACUCGCGGCUUAUCAGCUUGUUGGUGGGGUAGUGGCUUACCAAGGCUUUGACGGGUAGCCGGCCUGAGAGGGCGACCGGCCACAUUGGGACUGAGAGACGGCCCAGACUCCUACGGGAGGCAGCAGUGGGGAAUAUUGCACAAUGGGCGGGAGCCUGAUGCAGCAACGCCGCGUGCGGGAUGACGGCCUUCGGGUUGGAAACCGCUUUCAGCAGGGGCGAAGCUUGUGGUGACGGUACCUGCAGAAGAAGCACCGGCUAACUACGUG